rnacentral:rRNA from 1 species
GACGAACGCUGGCGGCGUGCUUAACACAUGCAAGUCGAACGCUGAAGCUUGGUGCUUGCACUGGGUGGAUGAGUGGCGAACGGGUGAGUAAUACGUGAGUAACCUGCCCUUGACUCUGGGAUAAGCCUGGGAAACUGGGUCUAAUACUGGAUAUGACAUGCCACUGCAUGGUGGUGUGUGGAAAGGGUUUUACUGGUUUUGGCUGGGCUCCCGGCCUAUCAGCUUGUUGGUGGGGUAAUGGCCUACCAAGGCGACGACGGGUAGCCGGCCUGAGAGGGUGACCGGCCACACUGGGACUGAGACACGGCCCAGACUCCUCCGGGAGGCAGCAGUGGGGAAUAUUGCACAAUGGGCGGAAGCCUGAUGCAGCGACGCCGCGUGAGGGAUGACGGCCUUCGGGUUGUAAACCUCUUUCAGCACGGAAGAAGCGAGAGUGACGGUACGUGCAGAAGAAGCGCCGGCUAACUCCGUG